rnacentral:rRNA from 1 species
UACGGGGGGGGCAAGCGGUUGUUCGGAAUUACUGGGCGUAAAGGGCUCGUAGGCGGCCAACUAAGUCGGACGUGAAAUCCCCAGGCUCAACCUGGGAACUGCGUCCGAUACUGGAUGGCUUGAAUUCGGGAGAGGGAUGCAGAAUUCCAGGUGUAGCGGUGAAAUGCGUAGAUAUCUGGAGGAAUACCGGUGGCGAAGGCGGCAUCCUGGACCGACAUUGACGCUGAGGAGCGAAAGCUAGGGGAGCAAACGGG